GAUGAACGCUGGCGGCGUGCCUAAUACAUGCAAGUCGAGCGAACAGACGAGGAGCUUGCUCCUCUGACGUUAGCGGCGGACGGGUGAGUAACACGUGGAUAACCUACCUAUAAGACUGGGAUAACUUCGGGAAACCGGAGCUAAUACCGGAUAAUAUAUUGAACCGCAUGGUUCAAUAGUGAAAGACGGUUUUGCUGUCACUUAUAGAUGGAUCCGCGCCGCAUUAGCUAGUUGGUAAGGUAACGGCUUACCAAGGCAACGAUGCGUAGCCGACCUGAGAGGGUGAUCGGCCACACUGGAACUGAGAAACGGUCCAGACUCCUACGGGAGGCAGCAGUAGGGAAUCUUCCGCAAUGGGCGAAAGCCUGACGGAGCAACGCCGCGUGAGUGAUGAAGGUCUUCGGAUCGUAAAACUCUGUUAUUAGGGAAGAACAAAUGUGUAAGUAACUAUGCACGUCUUGACGGUACCUAAGCAGAAAGCCACGGCUAACUACGU
rnacentral:rRNA from 1 species